UGGAGCAGGUCGCGUGCAGGACUGAAGCCCCACCAAGUGAUGCAACCCGCACCCUCAGAUGUCCGUCCAGCACUCAUACUGCAAAGAAAGGCAAACGAAGGCGUGCACCCCGUUGGUUUACGUCAAGACAAAACAAACGGCGAACAAUCUUCACAUAUGGGUCUUUUGAAAGAGGAAGUGAAGGAAGGUUGAAGAGCAUAGGACAACUCUAAGCCAGAUGCUCAACAUGGCUGACCCUAAUCCCUCUGUUACUCUCAUGCUCUCCUCCAUCUCGUGGCCCACGCUUUCACUCCCACGUUCAGCCCAUCCCCAUUUCUCUCUCAUCACUGACUCUGCUGUGGACUGGAUUAAACUAUGCCUCUACAAUAUUAAUCCAAAACCACAGAUUCUCAAAGCUUUAAAAAA